GGUCCGGUAGCUCAAUGGUAGAGCAAAAGCCUUUUAAGCUUUUGGUUCAGGGUUCGAGCCCCUGCCGGAUCA
rnacentral:tRNA from 1 species